rnacentral:rRNA from 1 species
UUAAAGGAAUUGACGGGACCCGCACAAGCAGCGGAGCGUGUGGUUUAAUUCGUUGCUACACGAAGAACCUUACCUGGGUUUGACAUAUAGGUUGUAGGGAACUGAAAAGGGACCGACCCUUCGGGGAGCUUAUACAGGUGUUGCAUGGCUGUCGUCAGCUCGUGUCGUGAGAUGUUCGGUUAAGUCCGCUAACGAGCGCAACCCUCGCCGUAUGUUACAAGUGUCAUACGGGACUGCCGGUAAAAAGCCGGAGGAAGGUGAGGAUGAUGUCAAGUCAGCAUAACCUUUAUAUCCAGGGCUACACACACGCUACAAUGGUCUGUACAAUUGGUUGCCAAGCCGCGAGGCGGAGCCAAUCCGUAAAGCAGGCCUCAGUUCAGAUUGCAGUCUGCAACUCGACUGCAUGAAGCCGGAGUUGCUAGUAACCGCAGGUCAGCAAUACUGCGGUGAAUACGUUCCCGGGUCUU